rnacentral:rRNA from 1 species
AUUGAACGCUGGCGGCAGGCCUAACACAUGCAAGUCGAGCGAGCGGCGGACGGGUGCGUAAUGUAUGGGGACUGCCUGAUAGAGGGGGAUAACUACUGGAAACGGUAGCUAAUCACGCAUACUAUCGGAUAACCCAUAUGGUAUUAGCUAGUAGGUGAGGUAAUGGCUCACCUAGGAGACGAUCCCUAGCGGGUCUGAGAGGAUGAUCAGCCACACUGGGACUGAGACACGGCCCAGACUCCUACGGAGGCAGCGGUGGGGAAUAUUGCACAAGGGGCGAAAGCCUGAUCCAGCCAUGCCGCGUGAAUGAAGAAGGCCCUAGGAUUGUAAAGUUCUUUCAUUAGGGAGGCGUUACCGAAAGAAGAAGCACCGGCUAACUCCGUGCCAGCAGCCGCGGUAAUAC